ACGGCAGCACGGGAGCUUGCUCCUGGUGGCGAGUGGCGAACGGGUGAGUAAUAUAUCGGAACGUACCCUAGAGUGGGGGAUAACGCAGCGAAAGUUGCGCUAAUACCGCAUACGAUCUACGGAUGAAAGUGGGGGAUCGCAAGACCUCAUGCUCAUGGAGCGGCCGAUAUCUGAUUAGCUAGUUGGUGGGGUAAAGGCCUACCAAGGCAUCGAUCAGUAGCUGGUCUGAGAGGACGACCAGCCACACUGGAACUGAGACACGGUCCAGACUCCUACGGGAGGCAGCAGUGGGGAAUUUUGGACAAUGGGGGCAACCCUGAUCCAGCAAUGCCGCGUGAGUGAAGAAGGCCUUCGGGUUGUAAAGCUCUUUUGUCAGGGAAGAAACGGUGAGGGCUAAUAUCCUUUGCUAAUGACGGUACCUGAAGAAUAAGCACCGGCUAACUACGUGCCAGCAGCCGCGGUAAUACGUAGGGUGCAAGCGUUAAUCGGAAUUACUGGGCGUAAAGCGUGCGCAGGCGGUUAUGUAAGUCAGAUGUGAAAUCCCCGGGCUCAACCUGGGAAUGGCAUUUGAGACUGCAUGGCUAGAGUGUGUCAGAGGGGGGUAGAAUUCCACGUGUAGCAGUGAAAUGCGUAGAGAUGUGGAGGAAUACCGAUGGCGAAGGCAGCCCCCUGGGAUAACACUGACGCUCAUGCACGAAAGCGUGGGGAGCAAACAGGAUUAGAUACCCUGGUAGUCCACGCCCUAAACCAUAAUGGUAGUUGUCGGGAGUUAAUUCUCUUGGUAACGCAGGCAACGCGUGAAGUAGACAGCCCGGGGAGUGCGGUCGCAAGAUUAAAACUCAAAGGAAAUGUCGGGGAGCCGCCCAAGCGGUGGAUGAUGUGGAGUAAUUUGAUGCUACGCGAAAAACCUUACCUACCCCUGACAUGUACGGAACCUCUGAGAGAUUAGAGGGUGCUCGAAAGAGAGCCGUAACACAGGUGUUGCAUGGCUGUCGUCAGCUAGUGUCGUGAGAUGUUGGGUUAAGUCCCGCAACGAGCGCAACCCUUGUCAUUAGUUGAUACGAAAGGGCACUGUAAUGAGACUGCCGGUGACAAACCGGAGGAAGGAGGGGAUGACGUCAAGUCCUCAUGGCCCUUAUGGGUAGGGCUUCACACGUCAUACAAUGGUACAUACAGAGGGCCGCCAACCCGCGAGGGGGAGGUAAUCCCAGAAAGAGUAUCGUAGUCCGGAUUGUAGUCUGCAACUCGACUACAUGAAGUAGGAAUAGUUAGUAAUCGCGGAUCAGCAUGUCGCGGUGAAAAAGUUCCCGGGUCUUGCACUCACCGCC
rnacentral:rRNA from 1 species